GGGAGCCUUUAACCACUGCUUGCCUAAUAGAGUACAAGGAAGAAAACGAAUGCUUAAACACAGUUCAUACUACAGCUACGCUCAAACACAGCCUUUAUGAAGAGAAGUUUACAGUGGCUAUAAACCACCAUGCACAACGGAAGGGAACACCAGCUGGUUUUAUGCAAAUCUGACUGCAAUUUGUUGAAGCACCAUGUCUAUCACUGCCAGCCUUGGCAGAUUUUAAACUGAGACAGUGUUUGGUCAAUUAGCAAUUCAUUAAUCUCUUCCAUAUUUUUUCCAUUAAUUAUUUUCACCAAUAGCUUCACUAUGAAGAAACCCUGAAUGUAACAUUUCAUGAUUUGUUAUUAUGAUAAUUAAGCUAUUGCUUUUUUUACAAGUAGUGCCAUUAAACAGAGUUCUAAUGAU